rnacentral:rRNA from 1 species
GAGUUUGAUCAUGGCUCAGAUUGAACGCUGGCGGCAUGCCUUACACAUGCAAGUCGAACGGCAGCACGGGAGCAAUCCUGGUGGCGAGUGGCGAACGGGUGAGUAAUAUAUCGGAACGUGCCCAGUCGUGGGGGAUAACGUAGCGAAAGCUACGCUAAUACCGCAUACGAUCUACGGAUGAAAGCGGGGGACUCGCAAGAGCCUCGCGCGAUUGGAGCGGCCGAUAUCAGAUUAGGUUGUUGGUGAGGUAAAAGCUCACCAAGCCUGCGAUCUGUAGCUGGUCUGAGAGGACGACCAGCCACACUGGAACUG